GCAAAGAAUCAGGUAAAAAAUAGUAUAAGUGAUUAAGAAUGUUCUGGGUAUAGUCUCUGUCAAGAAUUAAAUUGGAUUGGAAAAUGUGUUAACAUUUAUAUUUUUUAAAUACAUUAUAAAAAUAUUUUAUACCAAUAUUGUAUAUAAAUAUACAUUUUAUAUAUAAAUAAAAAUAUAUAUGUUGCGUGCACCGCCCGGUAUACUCCUUGGAUCGCGACUCGGCUGUCCGAUCGGCGAUAUCGAUCGACAGCGGCGGUCAGCUGUCAAAAGCUUAACGACCGAUGUCAACAACCAGUUGAAUCUCGGCUCCGCGCUCGCGUUGACGUAUUUGUAAUUGCUCUAAUAAAGCUGCUAGUUUGUGUUAAAGAAGUCUCUUUCAUUUCCGCGGCGCGCUCGCAACAAUAUGUUAGAAGAUCAAACCGCAAUAAUUAAGAGCGUAGCAUACGAUUCUAAAAGUAACAGAAUGAUUGGUUUUGUAUCUGCAUGUAGCAAAGAUAAUGGAUUUCCUAAAAAUAAUUUUUAUGUAAAUUCCGUAUAAGAUAUUGAAAAUGCUUUUUCUAAAUAUGUUAUUGGUUGCAAUGCAUAUGUGUACAUGGCUCAACCGCUUGUUGAUAACGCACCAGGAUUUUGUCUAACAGUUUUUGCAAGCGAUAACAAAUUCAAUCACAAUGAUGUCUUAGCUAGAUGGACAUUUUAAAAAAAUAAACUUGAAAGACUCAAUAUUCAAAUAACUGGAUUUUCAAGUGAUGGUGAUACAAGAUGCUUAAAAACCAUGAGAAUAUGGUCCAAAAUUCCUUUAUCAUCUAAAAAUCCAUAUUCUCCUUACUUUCAGGUAAAUAAUUUAAUUACUUCUAUUUUCUAGAUCAAGUUACUAAUUUAACAAUGUUGUCAACAGAAUCAGAGCCAAUUAAAUUUCUACUUUAAAUAAUUGCAAAUAUAUGUAUAUGUAUAUGUAAUUGCAAAUAUAUUAUUUUAUAAUGGCUUGAAACCCAAAAGAAUAUUUUUUCAUAUUAAUAAUAUUACUAAUUUAAUAAUUUUGAUUAAAAAAUGAUGUAAAAAAACUGCAAAUCUUUAAUUAUUUUUAGAUGGAAUUUGAUAUAAAAAACCAGUAUGUAUUCAAGAUACAGUUCACAUUGGAACAAAAUUAAAAACAAGAUUUUUGAAACUCAAUGUACUUUUACCGAUGGGUUCACAGAUUGUUUCUCCAGAACAUGUAAAAAAAUUAAUGAAGCAGUUCUCUAAAGACAAACAUUUAUUAUGUGACAGUGAUCUUGAACGUAUGUUUAGUUUAAUUAAUAUCUGAAGUAUUAUACAUCUGAAGUAUUGCAUAAUUUUUAAAUGAAAUAAAUACUGAUUUAAAAGGUACAUUUCGAUUUCCACAAGAAGAAAAUAAUCGCUUAGGAAUUUCUUCGGAUACAAUUUUAAAUUCUGAUAAAACUCCAUCUACAGAAAAAAUUUUAAAUAUUUUGAACACUGCUAAAAAUGAUGCAAUAAAUAUUGCAAGAGAAUUGGGAAUGAAUAUGAGUGAAGAAAAAAUAAAGGAAAGUUUCGAAAAGAUUAUAAUUCGAUGUUUUACUGAUGAAGAGGAAAAUGAAAAAAUAGAGAAAAAUGACGAUGACAACGAACGACAAAAUGAAGAUAUUGAAUCUACUGAAGAUUUUGAAGAUGAUUUCGAAAAUUUGCGAAAUGAUAUUUCAAUUUUUAAAAAUCAAACAGAUUUAAAUUUAAAAAUUAUACAACUAACUGCACAGAAAACAAUAAAGGUUUAUUUUUAAAUGUAAUUAUUAAUAAAAAAAAAUAUGUUGUAAGAAAAUCAUCGCUUUGUUGGUUAUAUCAAAAUAAAAGUAAAUUGUCUAGUGAUAGAUUGUAUCGAGUUUGUGGUAUGAAUGUUACAAAUACAAAUAGAAAAAUAACGAAAGAAUUGAAGAUAGAAUGCGAAAAAUAUUAUUGCGUUUAUUAUGAUACAGGAUGGUACAUAGGAAGAGUGUUACGUAUAGAAAAAAAUACAUGUAAAAUUAAAUUUUUAUCUGCUAAUUUAAAUGAGUUUAGAUGGCCAAAGAAGGAUGACAUUCAAGAAGUAGAUAAAGAAUUUAUAAUGUAUGGGCCGAUAUAUCUUUAAAUGGGAUAAAUCCUUUUACAAUUAGUAAAGAAAUACGUUCAAAUAUC